rnacentral:rRNA from 1 species
GACGAACCGUGCGAACGUUGUUCGGAAUCACUGGGCUUAAAGGGCGCGUAGGCGGCAGAUCAAGUCCGGGGUGAAAUCCUCCAGCUCAACUGGAGAAGUGCCUUGGAUACUGAUGUGCUCGAGGGAGGUAGGGGUCCGCGGAACUUCUGGUGGAGCGGUGAAAUGCGUUGAUAUCAGAAGGAACGCCGGUGGCGAAAGCGGCGGACUGGAUCUCUUCUGACGCUGAGGCGCGAAAGCUAGGGGAG